rnacentral:rRNA from 1 species
AACAGGAUUAGAUACCCUGGUAGUCCACGCUGUAAACGAUGUCGACUUGGAGGUUGUGCCCUUGAGGCGUGGCUUCCGGAGCUAACGCGUUAAGUCGACCGCCUGGGGAGUACGGCCGCAGGGUUAAAACUCAAAUGAAUUGACGGGGGCCCGCACAAGCGGUGGAGCAUGUGGUUUAAUUCGAUGCAACGCGAAGAACCUUACCUACUCUUGACAUCCAGAGAAUUUGCUAGAGAUAGCUUAGUGCCUUCGGGAACUCUGAGACAGGUGCUGCAUGGCUGUCGUCAGCUCGUGUUGUGGAAUGUUGGGUUAAGUCCCGCAACGAGCGCAACCCUUAUCCUUUGUUGCCAGCACGUAAUGGUGGGAACUCAAAGGAGACUGCCGGUGAUAAACCGGAGGAAGGUGGGGAUGACGUCAAGUCAUCAUGGCCCUUACGAGUAGGGCUACACACGUGCUACAAUGGCAUAUACAAAGAGAAGCGAACUCGCGAGAGCAAGCGGACCUCAUAAAGUAUGUCGUAGUCCGGAUUGGAGUCUGCAACUCGACUCCAUGAAGUCGGAAUCGCUAGUAAUCGUAGAUCAGAAUGCUACGGUGAAUACGUUCCCGGGCCUUGUACACACCGCCCGUCACACCAUGGGAGUGGGUUGCAAAAGAAGUAGGUAGCUUAACCUUCGGGAGGGCGCUUACCACUUUGUGAUUCAUGACUGGGGUGAAGUCGUAACAAGGUAACC